rnacentral:piRNA from 1 species
CCAAGCCUCGAGUGGUAUAGCACUGC